rnacentral:rRNA from 1 species
UACGUAGGGUGCGAGCGUUGUCCGGAAUUAUUGGGCGUAAAGGGCUCGUAGGCGGUUUGUCGCGUCGGGAGUGAAAACACCGGGCUUAACUCGGUGCUUGCUUUCGAUACGGGCAGACUAGAGGUAUGCAGGGGAGAACGGAAUUCCUGGUGUAGCGGUGAAAUGCGCAGAUAUCAGGAGGAACACCGGUGGCGAAGGCGGUUCUCUGGGCAUUACCUGACGCUGAGGAGCGAAAGUGUGGGUAGCAAACAGG